AGUCGAUUCUUUCUACUCUCCAGAUGUUACAAAUAAUACAGCCAAAACAGUUUACAAGUGCGACAAAGGACAUCAAGAGCACCAGAAGGAGGGCGUCAGAAAGCCUCUGGGGACAGGAAUCUCCCUGCGUUGCAGACACUUCUCCAAGAACUGCUUGAGACGUAUGAAAGAGCCCAUCUGUCCUGAGCUCGUGAUGGCCUCAAUUCUGGGCAAGUAGUCCUCUUGGAUGAAAAGUAUCAUCUUCCAGAACUGGACCUGGUUCUGCUUCAUGAGGGCGUUCCCACACACCUCCAAAAAGUCAAACAGGAGAGUGGCUGUUACACCUGAGAGAGGCUCCAUGUUUAAGAUCUGUGCCAACCAGCGCCAGCCAUGAUUUAAGCCAUGAGGAUGAACCUCCUGCCGGUUUGCAUAUGGCCACUGGAGCUGGAUGAUGGCGGCAUACAAACGGAUCAUCCCAGACAUGCGUUUCAGAAAGCUUUCCUGCCGCUCAACCUUGGAAUCCACAACUUGAUAGCCAAGCAUCCGUUGAUAAUCCUCCAAAGCCAUCCCUUCCUUGAAAGCUGGGUAGAAAGGAACGGAGUAUGGACACUUCUUGUGGAGAUGAGCAAGAAUGAGGUCUCCCACUUUGGGGUGGAGCAUCCAGAUACCAGAAGCCACCGCCGCAAUGGGGAAUGCCGCUUCGUGGUGAGAGGCCACUUCCUUCUCCCCUUGUUUCACAAAUUUCUCUGCCAGUUUGUACUGGACAAAGUCCAGCCCCUGAGGGUUAAGAGUGACAGACACGGAACGCCCUCCAGAUUGGACAGGCUUUCCCGAGAGCAGACUGUGGAGCUUAUCAAAGACCUCCUUCAGCUUUGAACCUGAGAUGCCGGAGAUCUGGCUCACUGGAAUGGUGGCUGCCUUCCGCAAAUCCGUCCUUAUCUUUUUCGUCUGACUGUCCUUGCUGCUGGUCAGGUCCUCAAAGGCCAACACACAUUUGGCGGAAGCAUCCUGAAGUUGCUGGUACCACUGCAGUGUACUAUCUUGUACCUUCCCCUGCAGGUCUUCAUUCUGCGAACCUGUUGGGCUUGGGCUGGGUGCAGAGCUCUGGGUGGGAACUCCUGGCCCCUGCUGCAUCUGUGACUCCUGCCGCUUGACUUGGGCCUCUUCCUCCUCGUUCUUCUUCUUCACUUCAGAGGCUCUGGUGAUCUCCUGCUCCAAACUCAAGAGGAGGUCCUGCAUUUCCUGCAGGGCCAGCUCGGCCUCAGCUUGGUUCUCGGCCGUGGGAAUGCCACUCUCCAAAGUGCUGCAAAUGAUGCCGGAGAUGACGCUACACAGCUGGUUGCCCUGGGUCUGGAAGGCAGCCAGGUCCACAUUCAGCAGGUCUUUGUGUUGACUGGAGGCAUCCAGCUGCUGAUUGAGCUGCAGGACCUCCUCUUGCAGGGUGUACAGGCUGCGCAGACGGGCCUGGCCUUCCUCCUUUCGAAGCUGCUCCUGCUCUGCCUGCUUCUCACGCUGCCGCUGCUCUGCCUCUUGAAGCAUUAGCUUGAGAAUCUUGGCUCUGUGGUGAUGCUCAGCUUUCAGCUUCUCCUGAUGACCCAGGGCUUCUCUGAUACUCUUCUCCAUCACUUCCUCUAAGUCCCGUAACUCCUUAUUCAUCUUCAACUCCUUCAGCUCGUCAAACUUCUUUAGCUGUUCGGAUGCCAUCUCUGAGAAGGCUUGCACCUUCCUUUCUUGCUCCUCCUGCCACUUCGUCAGGCCCUCUGUACCUUCCACUUUGAUCGCUGGAGAGGACUGAAGUGCAAUAGGUUCUGUGAACCGGGACUCAUGUGUGUUCUGGGUUCCAUUCGAUGUUGAGGGUGAGAGGGAUUGUAGGGUACUUCUGACAGGAGACUUGAGUAGUGAGGAUUGGUACAGGCCUGAAGCAGAUCCAGAGGAUGAUGGGUUAUCCGAGGAAGGACCAUUCUCUUGCGUGUGGCGUAAGGUGUUGGGUAGAAUGUGAUCUACCACCCAUCCAGAGUAAGAAGAUAGUUUGGGAAGAGAUCUGCAUUCUUCCAAAACAUCCUGGUUGUAGUGCAGACGGCCUUUGCUGGAGUUGCGGAGCGCCUUCAGGGUUUCCCAGCGGUGACCAUCGGACGGCCUUGACCUGGGGAGCACCAUCUUCUCUGAAGGAGGACUAAGACACGAGAGAAAGAGGAUUCUUUCUUUCUGAGAUAGGGUUUUUCUGUGUAUUCGCAGCUACACUGGGACUCUUUCUACAGACCAGGUUGGCCUAGAUCAGAUAUCUGCUUUCCUCUACCUCCCUAGUGUAAGGCAGCAAGGAGAGACUACUGUGUCUCACCCUGGGCAGAGCUUGAGUAUAUAUACAUUUCCCCAAAGCCCCGCCUCCACAGUGACACACCUCUAAUCCAACAAGGCCACACCUCCCCAUAGAACCACACCCUACUCCAAGCAUAAUUCAAUCACCACACCAAACAAACAAACAAACAAACAAAAGAAUAAUCCUUACCGAAUACUGGGUUUCUAAGGUAAUGAGACACAAAAAAGAGGCUACAGAACACAAUGUUAAAAUAAUGAAUGUGAGAAAUCAAAAGGCAUAGACCAAAACCUGGGAUGUAGGAUUGAAAGAAAGGGAUGGAUAUGUGUUCUUACAGUCACGUCUCAUUUUUCAUGAAGGCAUAUCAUUUGAGUUGCUUGUACCAUGAUGAUCCCUCAUUGUCCUAUGGUUAUAUAGAGAACAGCAAUUUUACUACAACACAAUUAAGAAAGUAGACCUAUAAAACUGAUUCGGUGUCACAGUGCGUAAAGGUUCUUGCUGCCAAACUACCUGAGUACAGUCUCAGAUAGAUGGAGAAAUCAGACUCUCUCAGGUUAUUUUCUGACCUUCACACGGGUGUUGUGGUAGUUUUACACAUACACACACUCACACACACAAACAAACCCCCAUACACUCAUACACUACAUAUAACAAAAUGUGUAACUUCAUUUUAUAUAUAUAUAUAUAUAUGUGUGUGUGUGUGUGUGUGUGUGUGUUUUGUCUGCAUGUAUAUCUGUAGCACAUGCAUUCCUAGUGCCCUGAGGAGGCUAGAGAGGGCAUUGGACCCACUGGGUACUAGAGUAGCAGGUGUUUCUGGGCCACCAUGUGAGUGUUGGGAAUUAGUGUUCUUAACUGGUCUCUUUAACCUAAUAAAAUUUAUUUUUUUUG
ensembl:lincRNA Gm29125 predicted gene 29125